rnacentral:rRNA from 1 species
AUUGAGCGCUGGCGGCAGGCUUAACACAUGCAAGUCGAGCGGAGCGAGGGUGCUUGCACCUUAGCUUAGCGGCGGACGGGUGAGUAAUGCUUAGGAAUCUGCCUAUUAGUGGGGGACAACAUUCCGAAAGGGAUGCUAAUACCGCAUACGCCCUACGGGGGAAAGCAGGGGAUCUUCGGACCUUGCGUUAAUAGAUGAGCCUAAGUCGGAUUAGCUAGUUGGUGGGGUAAAGGCCUACCAAGGCGACGAUCUGUAGCGGGUCUGAGAGGAUGAUCCGCCACACUGGGACUGAGACACGGCCCAGACUCCUACGGGAGGCAGCAGUGGGGAAUAUUGGACAAUGGGGGGAACCCUGAUCCAGCCAUGCCGCGUGUGUGAAGAAGGCCUUUUGGUUGUAAAGCACUUUAAGCGAGGAGGAGGCGCUCUAGGAUAAUACCCUAGAUGCGUGGACGUUACUCGCAGAAUAAGCACCGGCUAACUCUGUGCCAGCCGCCGCCGUAACAC